GUUCAUAUAGUUUACAAACAAAACAUUUCAUUUUCAAUGAAAAAAGGGGAAACAUCCCUAUGAAC
rnacentral:tRNA from 1 species